UACGGAGGGUGCGAGCGUUGUUCGGAAUUACUGGGCGUAAAGGGCUCGUAGGUGGCCAACUAAGUCAGACGUGAAAUCCCUCGGCUUAACCGGGGAACUGCGUCUGAUACUGGAUGGCUUGAGUUCGGGAGAGGGAUGCGGAAUUCCAGGUGUAGCGGUGGAAUGCGUAGAUAUCAGGAGGAACACCGAUGGCGAAGGCAGGUCUCUGGGCUGACACUGACGCUCAUGCACGAAAGCGUGGGGAGCAAACAGG
rnacentral:rRNA from 1 species